rnacentral:rRNA from 1 species
CGGCGGACGGGUGAGUAACGCGUGAGCAACCUUCCUUUCGACAGGGGAAUAACACACCGAAAGGUGUACUAAUACCGCAUAAGACCACGGGAUCACAUGGUUCUGGGGUAAAAGAUUUAUCGGUUUGGGGUGGGCUCGCGUCCGAUUAGGUAGUUGGUGAGGUAACGGCCCACCAAGCCGACGAUCGGUAGCCGACCUGAGAGGGUGAUCGGCCACAUUGGGACUGAGACACGGCCCAAACUCCUACGGGAGGCAGCAGUGGGGAAUAUUGGGCAAUGGAGGAAACUCUGACCCAGCAACGCCGCGUGGAGGAAGAAGGUUUUCGGAUCGUAAACUCCUGUCCUUGGAGACGAGUAGAAGACGGUAUCCAAGGAGGAAGCCCCGGCUAACUACGUGCCAGCAGCCGCGGUAAUACGUAUGGUGCAAGCGUUAUCCGGAUUUACUGGGUGUAAAGGGAGCGCAGGCGGUGCGGCAAGUCUGAUGUGAAAGCCCGGGGCUCAACCCCGGUACUGCAUUGGAAACUGUCGUACUAGAGUGUCGGAGGGGUAAGUGGAAUUCCUAGUGUAGCGGUGAAAUGCGUAGAUAUUAGGAGGAACACCAGUGGCGAAGGCGGCUUACUGGACGAUAACUGACGCUGAGGC